CUACGGGUGGCAGCAGUGGGGAAUUUUGCGCAAUGGGGGAAACCCUGACGCAGCAAUACCGCGUGAGUGAAGAAGGCCUUUGGGUCGUAAAGCUCUUUUCUUGGGGAAGAUAGUGACGGUACCCAAGGAAUAAGCACCGGCUAACUCCGUGCCAGCAGCCGCGGUAAUAGGAGGGUGCAAGCGUUGUUCGGAUUUACUGGGCGUAAAUGGCACGUAGGCGGCACAGCAAGUUAAGGGUGAAAUCCCGGGGCUCAACUCCGGAACUGCUCUUAAAACUGCUGAGCUAGAGAUAGUCAGAGGCGGGUGGAAUUCCAGGUGUAGAGGUGAAAUUCGUAGAUAUCUGGAGGAACACCGGUGGCGAAGGCGGCCCGCUGGGGCUAUUCUGACGCUAAGGUGCGAAAGCGUGGGGAGCAAACGGGAUUAGAUACCCUCGUAGUC
rnacentral:rRNA from 1 species